GAUGAACGCUGGCGGCGUGCCUAAUACAUGCAAGUCGAGCGAAGCGGGGACGGGUGAGUAAUACGUGGGUAACCGCCUAUAAGACGGGGAUAAUUUCGGGAAACCGGAGCUAAACCGGAUACUUAUAGGUUGAUACUCGCUGGAUUAGCUAGUUGGUAAGGUAACGGCUUACCAAGGCAACGAUGCAUAACAGACCUGAGAGGGUGAUCGGCCACACUGGAACUGAGACACGGUCCAGACUCCUACGGGAGGCAGCAGUAGGGAAUCUUGCGCAAUGGGCGAAAGCCUGACGGAGCCACGCCGCGUGAGUGAUGAAGGUCUUCGGAUCGUAAAACUCUUUUAUUAGGGAAGCGUUACCUAAACAGAAAGCCACGGCUAACUACGUGCCAGCAGCCGCGGUAAUUC
rnacentral:rRNA from 1 species